rnacentral:rRNA from 1 species
AGUGAACGCUGGCGGUAGGCCUAACACAUGCAAGUCGAACGGCAGCACGGUAAGAGCUUGCUCUUACGGGUGGCGAGUGGCGGACGGGUGAGGAAUACAUCGGAAUCUACUUUUUCGUGGGGGAUAACGUAGGGAAACUUACGCUAAUACCGCAUACGACCUACGGGUGAAAGCAGGGGAUCUUCGGACCUUGCGCGAUUGAAUGAGCCGAUGUCGGAUUAGCUAGUUGGCGGGGUAAAGGCCCACCAAGGCGACGAUCCGUAGCUGGUCUGAGAGGAUGAUCAGCCACACUGGAACUGAGACACGGUCCAGACUCCUACGGGAGGCAGCAGUGGGGAAUAUUGGACAAUGGGCGCAAGCCUGAUCCAGCCAUACCGCGUGGGUGAAGAAGGCCUUCGGGUUGUAAAGCCCUUUUGUUGGGAAAGAACAGCAGCAGGUUAAUACCCCGCUGUUCUGACGGUACCCAAAGAAUAAGCACCGGCUAACUUCGUG